GAUGAACGCUGGCGGCGUGCUUAACACAUGCAAGUCGAACGGAAAGGCUCCUGCUUGCAGGGGUACUCGAGUGGCGAACGGGUGAGUAACACGUGGGCGAUCUGCCCUGCACUUCGGGAUAAGCCUGGGAAACUGGGUCUAAUACCGGAUAGGACCACAUUUUGGAUGGUGUGGUGGAAAGUUUUUCGGUGUGGGAUGAGCUCGCGGCCUAUCAGCUUGUUGGUGGGGUAAUGGCCUACCAAGGCGUCGACGGGUAGCCGGCCUGAGAGGGUGUACGGCCACAUUGGGACUGAGAUACGGCCCAGACUCCUACGGGAGGCAGCAAUGGGGAAUAUUGCACAAUGGGCGCAAGCCUGAUGCAGCGACGCCGCGUGGGGGAUGACGGCCUUCGGGUUGUAAACUCCUUUCGCUAGGGACGAAGCGUUUUUGUGACGGUACCUGGAGAAGAAGCACCGGCUAACUACGUG
rnacentral:rRNA from 1 species